rnacentral:lncRNA from 1 species
AAGAAAUACUUCCCGGAAGAAAGCAGAGCCUUGUCUCCGGCAGGGCAGGGGUCUUCUUCCCCUCGAAGCUGCGGGGUCGCAGUAACAGGAGGUCCUCAAGAUGCAUCAGCCACAUCUGUUCCCUUCCUUGUCUGCUUGGCCCCCCCAUGCGCUUGUAGCCAGCAGCGUCCCUCGGGGCUGCACCUGGGCUGUAAAUGCCUCCUGUUCCCCCCGGAGGGCACCGACCUUGGAGCAGGCUCAACCUCCGCUCAGCUCCUGCGCCACUGCAGGAAGCUGACGAUGAUGAAGGAGAGUGCAGGCGCAGGGAGCGCGGUGGUGCAGUCCAUCCGGACCACACAUCUAGGGGUGCUCCAGUCACGGUCAGGAUAGAAGACAAGGAGGUCCUACUGGCGAUGCUGUAUUUCCACAAUCUUCUCAGUGUUUGAGAUCAAAAAAGGAAGUGUUCAGAGACGAGUGCAAUAAAGACCGGGCUGCUGGGGUAGAAUGUCA